rnacentral:rRNA from 1 species
GUUAAGCGACUAAGCGUACACGGUGGAUGCCCUGGCAGUCAGAGGCGAUGAAGGACGUGCUAAUCUGCGAUAAGCGUCGGUAAGGUGAUAUGAACCGUUAUAACCGGCGAUUUCCGAAUGGGGAAACCCAGUGUGUUUCGACACACUAUCAUUAACUGAAUCCAUAGGUUAAUGAGGCGAACCGGGGGAACUGAAACAUCUAAGUACCCCGAGGAAAAGAAAUCAACCGAGAUUCCCCCAGUAGCGGCGAGCGAACGGGGAGCAGCCCAGAGCCUGAAUCAGUGUGUGUGUUAGUGGAAGCGUCUGGAAAGGCGCGCGAUACAGGGUGACAGCCCCGUACACAAAAAUGCACAUGCUGUGAGCUCGAUGAGUAGGGCGGGACACGUGGUAUCCUGUCUGAAUAUGGGGGGACCAUCCUCCAAGGCUAAAUACUCCUGACUGACCGAUAGUGAACCAGUACCGUGAGGGAAAGGCGAAAAGAACCCCGGCGAGGGGAGUGAAAAAGAACCUGAAACCGUGUACGUACAAGCAGUGGGAGCCUCUUUUAUGGGGUGACUGCGUACCUUUUGUAUAAUGGGUCAGCGACUUAUAUUCUGUAGC